GAAAGCAACCUUUCAGGUAGGCUACCUGAGAAUUUAAGGAGUUCUCGCAGCCCUCAGUGGUGCCAAAAACUGCUUAGGGAACUAUUCCGUAGAACAGCGCAUUUCCUUGGCCCAGCCCCAGAACAGGUCCCAUUCAGUGCUUUAUUUUACAUUUGGGCUUCUUCCCCGGUGCAGCUCCUUGUGCAACUCCACCAACCGCCCAGGCACAAGGAGGAAGGGGCUUCCCAAAGCCGAUGCUCCCCUCAGCCUGAGCUGCCAGCCUGCUGCUGGGCCUCAGCUACUGCUCACCUCCUGAGCAGCAGCCUGACCUGCUGCCCGCGGCCCCGAGCACCGGAGGAGACGGGAGACAACCGAGGGGCCCCGCAGCGCUUGCGGGAGGUCCGGGUAAAUCCCGGGACGAGAAACUUCUCCCCCCCACACUCCCCCCGGCCCGGUGGGGCCGUUCCCAGGGCCUCAACACCGCCCUGGGCCGGCCGCCGGAGCAAAGGCCGGGACCAGGCCCAGGCCCAGACCCUUCGGGAGCCCCGCGGCCCCCGGGAGCUCGGCGCUGCCCCCGGGGCCGCCGCCACCACCACAGGCCCCAGCGCGGGGCCGGGGAAGGAGAAGGGGGGGGGGGAAGGAGGAGAGCGGCCGGGCGCGGUCAGCGCCGCCGCAGGAGGGCCCGGAGCCGCCUCACCUGCGCCGAGGGGCCCGGCGGGCAUGUCGGGCCUGCGCGGGGACGGCCGCUGCGCCCUCAGGCCCAGGGCUCCAUGGGGCCCGCGGCGGCCGAGGCGACCCAGGGCGGGCGGGCGGACACCGCUGCGCUGCGCUCCGCUCCCCGCCGCCGCUUCCGGCAGCGCCACAAAGCGCACAGCGAGCAGCCCGGCCCCGACACGCACCGCGCAUGCGCGCGGCCCCACGGUUCCACAGCGCCCCGCCCGAGCGCGCGGGCAGCGCCAAAUAAGUCGCGGGGAAGAGCCGCGCGCCUGCGCAGUCCAGCGCGGCGGCGCCUCCGCCGCCCUCUCCUUCUUAAAGGGGCCGCGGCGGCGGCCGCCCGGCGGCUCCGUGCUGGGGGCUCCCGUGCGCAGGGGCUGGCAGCGAGCGGGGGCGCUCGCAGCGAGGAUUCGCGCGGGGCUGUCGCUGUGA
rnacentral:lncRNA from 1 species